GCGGCUGUGGCGGAAUUGGCAGACGCACUAGACUUAGGAUCUAGCGCUUAGGCAUAAGGGUUCAAGUCCCUUCAGCCGCACCA
rnacentral:tRNA from 1 species